ensembl:rRNA 5S_rRNA 5S ribosomal RNA
GUCUAUAGUCAUCCCACCCUGAACGCACCCAAUCUCGUCUGAUCUCGGAAGCUAAGUAGGGUUGGGCCUGGUUAGUACUUGGAUGGGAGAAAGAUCAUUCUGGUGGUCUGGUAGAAA